rnacentral:rRNA from 1 species
UACAGAGGGUGCAAGCGUUAAUCGGAAUUACUGGGCGUAAAGGGCGCGUAGGCGGUUGAUUAAGUUGGAUGUGAAAUCCCUGGGCUUAACCUAGGAACUGCAUCCGAUACUGGUCAGCUAGAGUGCGGUAGAGGGUAGUGGAAUUUCCGGUGUAGCGGUGAAAUGCGCAGAUAUCGGAAGGAACACCAGUGGCGAAGGCGGCUACCUGGACUGACACUGACGCUGAGGCGCGAGAGCGUGGGGAGCAAACAGG